AUGAACGCUGGCGGCGUGCCUCAUACCUGCAAGUCGCGCGAACAGACGAGGAGCUUGCUCCUCUGACGUUAGCGGCGGACGGGUGAGUAACACGUGGAUAACCUACCUAUAAGACUGGGAUAACUUCGGGAAACCGGAGCUAAUACCGGAUAAUAUAUUGAACCGCAUGGUUCAAUAGUGAAAGACGGUUUUGCUGUCACUUAUAGAUGGAUCCGCGCCGCAUUAGCUAGUUGGUAAGGUAACGGCUUACCAAGGCAACGAUGCGUAGCCGACCUGAGAGGGUGAUCGGCCACACUGGAACUGAGACACGGUCCAGACUCCUACGGGAGGCAGCAGUAGGGAAUCUUCCGCAAUGGGCGAAAGCCUGACGGAGCAACGCCGCGUGAGUGAUGAAGGUCUUCGGAUCGUAAAACUCUGUUAUUAGGGAAGAACAAAUGUGUAAGUAACUAUGCACGUCUUGACGGUACCUAAUCAGAAAGCCACGGCUAACUACGU
rnacentral:rRNA from 1 species